rnacentral:rRNA from 1 species
AUUGAACGCUGGCGGCAUGCCUAACACAUGCAAGUCGAACGGCAGCCCGGGAGCAAUCCUGGCGGCGAGUGGCGAACGGGUGAGUAAUACAUCGGAACGUGCCCAAUCGUGGGGGAUAACGCAGCGAAAGCUGUGCUAAUACCGCAUAAGAUCUACGGAUGAAAGCAGGGGAUCGCAAGACCUUGCGCGAAUGGAGCGGCCGAUGGCAGAUUAGGUAGUUGGUGGGGUAAAGGCUCACCAAGCCUUCGAUCUGUAGCUGGUCUGAGAGGACGACCAGCCACACUGGGACUGAGACACGGCCCAGACUCCUACGGGAGGCAGCAGUGGGGAAUUUUGGACAAUGGGCGCAAGCCUGAUCCAGCCAUGCCGCGUGCAGGAUGAAGGCCUUCGGGUUGUAAACUGCUUUUGUACGGAACGAAAAGUCUCUUUCUAAUAAAGAGGGAUCAUGACGGUACCGUAAGGAUAAGCACCGGCUAACUACGUGC